rnacentral:rRNA from 1 species
UCUCCUGGGAAACGGGUGGUAAUGCCGGAUGCUCCGACUCCUCGCAUGGGGUGUCGGGAAAGAUUUCAUCGGUAUGGGAUGGGGUCGCGUCCUAUCAGGUAGUCGGCGGGGUAACGGCCCACCGAGCCUACGACGGGUAGCCGGCCUGAGAGGGCGACCGGCCACAUUGGGACUGAGAUACGGCCCAGACUCCUACGGGAGGCAGCAGUGGGGAAUAUUGCACAAUGGGCGCAAGCCUGAUGCAGCGACGCCGCGUGCGGGAUGACGGCCUUCGGGUUGUAAACCGCUUUUGAUCGGGAGCAAGCCUUCGGGUGAGUGUACCUUUCGAAUAAGCACCGGCUAACUACGUGCCAGCAGCCGCGGUAAUACGUAGGGUGCAAGCGUUAUCCGGAAUUAUUGGGCGUAAAGGGCUCGUAGGCGGUUCGUCGCGUCCGGUGUGAAAGUCCAUCGCUUAACGGUGGAUCUGCGCCGGGUACGGGCGGGCUGGAGUGCGGUAGGGGAGACUGGAAUUCCCGGUGUAACGGUGGAAUGUGUAAAUAUCGGAAAAAAACACCACCC